UACGGAGGUGGCAAGCGUUGCUCGGAAUCACUGGGCGUAAAGGGCGCGUAGGCGGUGAGGUAAGUCGGGUGUGAAAUCCCUCGGCCCAACCGAGGAACUGCGCCCGAGACUGCUUCUCUUGAGUCCCGGAGAGGAAGAUGGAAUUCCCGGUGUAGCGGUGAAAUGUGUAGAGAUCGGGAGGAACACCGGUGGCGAAGGCGGUCUUCUGGACGGUGACUGACGCUGAGGCGCGAAAGCGUGGGGAGCAAACGGG
rnacentral:rRNA from 1 species